UAUCAUAUCCAGAAUAUAGAAUAUAGAAUAUAGAAUAUAGAAUAUAGAAUAUAGAAUAUAGAAUAUAGAAUAUAGAAUAUAGAAUAUAGAAUAUAAAUAUAACAGUGUAUAUAGUUGCUGGAAAAUUGCACAAUCCAGGAGGCUGAGGUCACUGUUAUCUCCUCUGAAUGGUGCUGCUAAAACAUGAAAACCAACGCCCAUUCUCUGGGGCUUUUCCUCCCUGUUGGCUAACACUGGGCUGGCUGGGAGGUGGGAAAAAAUUUGGCUCCAAAGCCAGGCCUGAUCUCCUUGCCAAAGAAGAACUCAGGUGCAGCUGGGGCACAUGGGGAGGAUGGAAAGUGAUUUGUGCUUCAUAGAAGCUAUUAAUAAUCAACUCCCUUAGACUGAUAGGAUUGUCAUAGUGAUAACUGACUGCCUGCAGGGAUGUUUUAGUCAUUUAGAAAACGCUGAAAAUCCCGCUGGCUUUCCCCCAGUGCGUGUGGUUAGACUGUGUAUGAGGUUUUUGACAUUGUUUUGCUAGAAGAGGAAGAAGUUACCUAAGAGGGCAGGCAGCCUAUAAAAAUGUUUUCACUCAGCACGGGCACGGACCAGGCUGGACUUCUUAGAAGGCAGCUGAAGCCUGUAGCCGUAUGGAAAAAAGAGAAAUCUGGGGAAAAAUAUCUUGUCUGGGAGACAACCACUAGGAGCACCUUGCAUAGAAGUGUUUCUUACCUUUUCUUUUUGUUUUUCCAAUAGUAUUCUCAAUUGGACAGGAAGCAUCUGAAUCUGCUGGAAUCAUGAGGAAGAUAAAGUAUUCCUGGGGAGCCUUAGUGGGAAGAGGCAGCAAGUGGGAGAAGAUGUCUGGGGAAAAUGCAAGGAUGGUGCCCAGGGACACGCACGAGGAGAGGAAGAAGCAGGAAGCGAAGAGGAGAGGGAAACUGAAAACUGUGGCAGGCAAAAUGCUAAAGGCCGUGGCUGGUGGGAAAGAGGCAGCAGAGGAGAAGGCUGGUGGUGAGGAUGUGGCAGGGAAGUUGCUGAAGACGGGAACCAGUAGGAAGGACGAGGAGGGACAGAUGCCUGCAGAGGAAACCAUCUGUGGAUUCAUUGAGCAAGGAAAAUUUUUUGAAGCUUGUGAUCAUAUUUAUGAUCUGGAACAUUCUGGAAAUGAUGGUGUGGGCAAGUCUGAAUCUCUUUAUACACUACUGGCUGAACAAAUGUGGACUGUGGUGGGAGAAGCUCUCAGUGGAAGUGGUGGGAUGUUCCUGGAGCCAUUGCAGUCAGUGGGGGAAUCUCUGAGGUGGGAGAAGCAGAAGGAAGCAGAGUGGCUUGGCAGCAGCCAGGAGACAGACUCUGUUUCCACUUGGAGUCCAAACUUCUGGAGGAAAGAUCUGGAGGAGAAACUAAUACAGUACAUGACAGCCCAGAUUCCUCCCUUUGGUUCCUCUAGUAACACAGACGAGACUGCACUAAAACAGCACCUGAAUCAUCUGGAAACGGCAUUUCUACCCAGCCUGGAGCACAGAAGUGGUGUCUUCAAGGAAGCAGGACUGUUCGCCACCUAUGCCCGCUGCUGUCAUGCCUCUUUGUCUUCCCACCUUUCUGCACUUACUGGCAGCAACCAUUUCAGCUUCAGACAAUGUCUUUUAGUUUAUGAAUGGGGCCUUAAAAUGUACAGAAGCAGCAGCGAGACAUGUCUGGGAUCCAGGCAGAGCCCCCAGCACAGCCCUUCCCUUGGUGUGCAGCAUGUCAUGUGGAUUGUGUUGAAGACUGAGGAAAAGUUACUUGCAGUCACUCGGAAGGCAGUAGGAAAAGCUCUGAAAGAAGCCUUUGAUAUUGGGAAACCCCCUUGUGCAGAUGCUGCAGUCAUUCAGAUACUAGUGGAGAAGACGGAGGCUGCUGGGCAUGUCAGUGAGAACCUGAGCGAGAAGGUGGAAGCUGUGUGCCUGGAGGAGUGCCUGAGCUUCCUGGAGAGCUAUGAAAAUGAAGUAAGAAGCUUUAUCCAGCUUGAUUGCUACCCUGGGAUCUGCAGCAGCUUACGAAUCCUGGAGAACUGCUGUAUUCUCAGGACUGUCUGGCGUAAGCUAACAUAUAUUUACAGUGUCAGCACUGGCCAGGAUAUUAAGGUAAAUGGAUUUCUAGACAGGAUGGAAGAUGAGAUUACAGAGCAUUUUCUGCAGACAGUCACUUCUACAGUAAAGGGAACACUGAAGGAGCACUUCAAAAAGUGUGACAGUGGAUUUGACCACAUCCUUGAAUCCUUAAAGCAAAGCUUUCUGGCAUUUGGGAAGAAAAAAACAGACACGUAUGAGGCUCUCAUCAAGGCUGUCAACACCAUCAUUAUUACAGAAUACAUUCAGGCCCUCCUGACCACUUCCAGGAAAUCAUCCUCUGUGCAGAGGAGGGGGAUUAUCAGCAAAAUAGAAGAAGAUCACAGCAUGCUGCAAACCAUCUUUAAAGAAUGCUUAGGUCCUACAGCUGGUUCCCUUAAGGAUCCUAUAAAAGCCAUUUUAGAACUUAUUCAAACUUCUGAUGCUGAGGGAAUGAAAAUAGCCCUUCUGCCCAUCCUCAAAGAAUUUCCUGAUCUAAGGAAGGAACAUCUGAGUGCAGUGCUGGACAUCAAAGACUCUCUCAGCCGAGAAGACAGGGCUUCUCUCUUGAAGGUGUUUCACGAUAACUGCAGGGAAUCAGAAACAGAAGCAAACUUGCUUUUUGCAGAUAUAGAAGUAAAACCCAGAAAAUAUGGACUCUGUGGCUGUCUCUGCUGUUAGCAAAGCCCUGCUGUGAGAAACAAGUCUCACUCCCAUAUGGCAGCAUCUGCAAUCACAGCUCCUUGAAAGCUUCAGCAGCUGGAUGAACGGAGAAGCCUGAAAGCUAUCGAAGACACAAUCCCUUUUGCAGGAAAAACAUGUGGCCCAAAUCCUAAUCUUCUAUGCAAAGUCCAGGCAGAAGAUGAAAGGGAUAACUGCAAGAUCAGAUCCUGUCCCCUAUCACUGGGCACCACGCUUGCAGUCCCUGAAGCUCUUGUGAGCAUCCUCUGCAUUUCAUCAUCUAAAUCAUUAAUGAGCCUGGCUCAGACCAGACUCCUGUGGACUCACAACCAACAGCCACUUUUGCUCCGAUCAUGAAUCUCCAUCCAGUUUUGUGUCUGCCACCCAGGAGCUUUGCAAGAGCAGACCCUCAGCCCAAGGUCUGCAUGUCCAGACAGAUGUGUGAUGCUCCCCAGACCUGCACCAGUCAGCAGUGACACCCUUCUGCUCUGCUGCCUCAUCCCUGCAGCCACUGUUUGGGGCAGCACUUGGCACUGGCAGGGACCAUGGUCCCUUCCUCACUUAUUAACUCGAAAGGUACUUGGUGCUAAGACCCUUUACUAAAGUCAAGGUUCCCAACAUCUGCAGCUGCUCAGAGAGGAGAAACUCCUGCCAUGGAAAGAAAGCAAAGAGAUUAUGCAGAACAAAUUUGAUUUAAAAAAGUCUUGGUGUAUUGCCUUGGUGUGGAUCUCAUGCUUAAAACUCUUAAAUUCUACCAAUACUUUUCCAAGAAAUAACCUCAGGGCUUAUUCCUCCCCCCUUUUUAAGAUCAGCACUGCUUUCCCUUGCCCAGGGAGCCACCUCCCUCUUGGCCAUCAUGGUGAAUGGCUGUGAGAUGGCUUUGACCAACUUUCCAAACACACUGUGUUGGGACAAGGUAUAGUGGAUGAAAUCCAUCUCUGGAAGCCUUCAGUUUAUUUAGGCUGCAGCUGGAUGCACAGUUUGUUAGCGUUAUCUUAUUUCAUUUAUUUUUUGGCAGCAUCGUUGGCGUAAGCAGCCCCCACUGCAUGUUUACCCCCUGACUGCUAGUGUAGCUGUUGGGGGCAGUGGAAGGAACAACAGUGAGUGGGGUGACAGAGGCUGCUUAAACCAAGACUGCUGCCCCUCCAAUCACUUAGAGUUAUGUUCCCUUGGUGCUUCUCAUUCUUCUGUACCAGCAUCUUUGCUUCGGCUUUCCAGUUGCUCCCCAGAUGCUUCAGCCACAGUUUCAUAUGAAUCUCCUGGAAUUUGAAUAACUUGUUUUCUUUCUGUAAUUGCUUCUUAAACUUCAGGGGAUUAAGGAAUUUAUUAUUCAGCUGAAUUCCCAUCACGCUGCACAUCCUCCUUCUGCACUGAGAGAUUUCUUUGUGCCUUAAAUAUGAUUUCCUGAGGAGCUGUCUGCUCCUCUAAAUUCCAAUUUCCCUUCUCCCACCCCAUGAAGAAGGAGGUCAGGAAAGUGAUCCUGACCGCUGCAUACCCAGUGCAGGGGUGAGGAGCACUUCCCAAGGCACCUGUGGAGGUUUGGGCUCAUAAGAGACAUCCCUGGGGUCAAAGCAGGGCAGCCCAUGGGUACAGCUAGGUUGGGCCUCUCCAGAAGGGUGAGCCAGCAGAGCGGGGAGCCCUGGAAGAAGAAGGUCUCUCCAAAACAGCAGACCGGGUGGUGUAAGUGGUCUGAGAAGGAGCAUAGCCCUGAGGCUGAAGCUGCCUCAAACAAUGUGGUGCCUGUGGUGUUGCCAGCCUCUGGGGAGGCACAGGCCUGAUUUGGGAAUGGGAAGUACCCUGAAUGGGUGAGCUCCAGAUAAAUCACUUCUGCAGCUGAGCUUUGGGCUGAAAAGGCUGCAGGAUGGCCAGGGAGACCUUGGUACAUGGCCCUGGAAGAUCUGUCAGGCAGAAGCACUGUGCCUCAGUUUCCAUUUUAAAGCUGUGGCACUGCUGCUACCUGUCCGGCCACAUCUUGUCACGAGUGUCCCAGCUAUUGGAAGGUGCGGGGGGUUUGUCUGUCCCGUCUUGCUGCAAGGUCCUGCAGACAAACCCAAGCUGGUGUCUGGCUGUGUGUGUCCUGGUCUUCAGUGGAGGCUGAGCUGCUAAACCCACUGGGGCUCAAAUGUGUGUUUAGGGCUUUCCCUCUCCUAUCCCUGCAGAAUACUGCGGGUGUAUUUAAGGGCUGACACGGCUGGAAGGUUGCGGGAAAAGCAGUGAUUCUGGGAAAUCACGUGUCCCCGAGCCUUUGGAAACAGUGAAGGCUGCCAAGCAUGAUGCAGGCUGGUAUUUCUGCAUGCUUUAAGGGCUGUGUCAGAGCAAGGCUGUAGCUACCAAUGAAGGCAGAGCAUGGCUUGAGACAUUUAGUUGGAAAAGCCGUACUCCUCCCACAUAAGCAGCUCCUCCAUCCAUGGGGAAAUGACAGAGUGCUGCCCUGAAGGAACAGCACUCUGGUUUCACUUAGAUACCAUCUGAUUUUCAUUUUCAUAAAUGUAGCUAUGUUUAUGUCGGCCUCAAAUGUUUUGCACAGUGCUGGACUCCUACAGUUUUAGCAUUGCUGAAAUUCCCCAUUCGCCUCAGAUAGAAUGCAGCUGGAUACCUCCCUUUUGGCCAUAAGUGCCCUCACUGGGGACAAGCUAUUCUGCAGGCCAGGUUGCCCUGGGGCUGCCCGCACAGGCAGGGCAGCACCACUGCACCACCGAAACGCUGACAUUAGGCACCAACAGCAAAGACCAUCCUUGACACUGGGCUGACACCUUCAAGAUCUCCCCAGGGCUGUGCUGGGAGCCAGUGUCAGGGGACUUGGAGACAGGGGCAGCAGCCCGUCCUCUGGCAGCCACUAAUUCUGAAAAACCACAGUUGUUGGCCAGAAGGAUCUCCACUGAAGUUCUCCAUGUUUGACAACACAUGCAAAAGAGAGUUGCCCCAGUAAUGGGCAUGCUAUCAGUGAGAAGGCCCCACUGAGAGUCUAGCUCAUGUGGAAAAUGAACAGAGGCUGCACAAGCUGGGCUUGCUUAACCUGGCAAAGAGGAAGAUAAAGGACAACUUGACAGUGAACUGCAUGAAGGGUGGUUACAAUGGGGACAGAGUCAAACUCCCCUCUAGCAGCAGGUGCUACACCAAGGGGAGAUGGACACAGAUUGUACUUUGUAAAGUUCAGGUUCAACAUCAGGGAAAAACUUGUUUCCUAGGAGGUGAUGCAGCCCAGAGAGAGACUGAACUCUUCACUUGGAGGUUUUUCAAGACUUUGCUAGUCCACACCAUUGGCUGCCAAGAGCUAGUAUUGGAAAUGGUCUUACUUUGAAUGAGGAGGUGGACUGGAGGCCCCCAGCACCCCCUUCCAGCAGUGUUCUCAUCCUGUGAGCCCUAUGGCCGGGCCAAGCUUACUUACAGCUUGUCUGAGUGCUUAUGCGUAAUGGAUCAUCACUUCUCACCCACCUGAAAAGAAAUAGGAAGUGAAGGCUCUGCGGACUUUGUCUGAAAAGUUGUUUUUACAAGCAUGACAUAACAGGGAGGUUGAUGGAGCAGAGAGCCAAGAUGAAGAACACUCUUAUCCCUCUGCAAUUUUUAAACAUUGACCUAUUGUACUACGAGAAAGAGCAAGCAAAGAGAGGGAGAACAUGAUUAAGAGUAGACUAGAGAGGUUUGCAUCUACUCAAACUCAGGAGUCUGUUUUCUUCACCACACACCACACUGGGAUGGGGCCAGAUGGUACAGCCAAAGUCCCUGUCAGGUAAGAAUAGAGUGGGAGGACAGGAAUUUCCUGGUGUCACUGAACGGUCCUUCCCAGUAUGAAGCUUGUUGACACUGAGGACCUACAUUUUUGUAUUGCUUCCUGGGAAGUGAGGUCUCCCAAGAGCCUGUGGAAGGGUGGCAUUUCCCACAAGGCUCUGCUUUCUCAAGGCAUCGAACCAAGAAGUGAUGCUUGUUUGGCAUGUUUGUUCUUGUUGACAUGACUGGAGCAUAAACACACGUCCUAGCUGCAGAGAGGGAUGGGAGGUGGGGCUCUAAGAUCCCGUGAAACCAAAACUCCACAGUGAAAAAUUUUGGGAGAUUUUGGUCAACUAAAGUUGACUUGAAUUUGUAAGUGCACUUCCUUUCUUGUAAAGACAGUUUCUAUAUGUAACACAGAAUCAGCCCUUUUGUUUGUUUGUUUUUCUACUGGGUAACAAGAAAAAAGUGCACAAAAGAGAUUUUGGGGAGGAACGAUGAGGAGACUGAUUUACCAGUCUGACUUCUCAGACUGCUUUUGAGCUUGAACAUGAGUGAGCUGAGGUUUGGCAGAGUCUCAGGGUGACCUUUUGUAUAAGCACUCAAUGCUUCUCCUGAAUCUCUGGGCACUACAUCAAAAUUAGUGAAAUAAACACAAAAUCCAGAUAGUAUGAAGCCAAGUGACGUAAUCCACAAGCCUCAGGCAACUGGCGAGUCUGGGAGUGGGUGCAGGACAGUUGCAUGGGUCAAGCCAAGCAUCCCUCCAGGGCAGUGUCCACUCCCUGACAGUGGCCAGAGUAGAUGCCCAGGGACAGCUGAAGGGAUGGGAUAAGCAUGAUCUAUCCCUAUAUGCUCUCCCAGACACCAGCAAUCUGUGGCUUAAACAUUUUCUAAGCCAGAGUGGUGUCUGUAUUUAAGAGCCUUCGAUGUUAUUCUAUUCCUCAUGCCCUGUCUCCAUCCCUGUCUGUCUGCUUUCUUGCAUACAGCUUAGCUUUUAGCAGCCACAGCAUCCUGCAGCAGGACCUUUUGCAGCCUAAUUAUACACUGAGUGAAAAAAGCUCCAGUUUUCUGGCUUUGGGUCUUGUAUCUGCUACCUUCAUCUGAUACCCCUUGCAUAGGAAGAGAUGGUUUUCCUCUUUCCACCUUCUUUAGGCCUCCAUUAUUUUGAAGAUCUCCAUCCUUAGUUGUCCCAUUUCCAGCCUGGAGGGUCCUGUCCUGCUCACCCAGAAGCUCUGCCAUAACUAACCCCACACCUCUGCUCUGGAUGUUCUGCACUUCUGGCACAUCUUUGAGAUGAAGGGACCCAAACUGUGCACAAGUCCUUGAGCUGAGGCUGCCAUGAGUUUGUGUUAUGGCAUAAUUUCUUGUUCCUGAUCUGUUCACUUUUUCUACCCUUAGUAACUCCUAGCAUUCAGUUUGAGAUUUCUGCUCACUUUCUUGCAUUAGGUAACAUUUGUGCAGUACUGUCUGCCCAGGGUCCCAUUUGGCUCCCCUGUUUUCCAUGUAAAACAAUAAUUUUGCAUCCCUUUGCAUAGAUCUCCUCUACCAUUUGAACACCUGCUUGUUCAGCCUCAUAAGGUCACUUUUACUGCUAUAAGUGACUUGAUACAAUUUGCAAACAAGAGAGUCACCUGCCUAUCCACCCCUGCCCAAUUUCCUGCAGGGAGCCCAGCACAACCCUACAUGGAAGGACACUGCUCCAAUAUGAAAAUUGUUCCUUAUUUCCCAUCUCUGCUCUGUUACUCGUCCCUGUGAGGACCUUCUAGCUCAUCCUAUUGAUUCCCAUUUUCUCUCAGAGCCUCUUGCAACAGCUUCUCAAAUGCCUUUUGGAAAGCCGAAUAGGUUACAGCAACUACAUCUCCUCUCUGCUCCCCUGCUCACCCCUCCAAGAACACCAGUGGGUUUGUGGGGUACCAUUUCUCCUUGGCGAGCAGGGCUGGCUCUUCCCCAGCGCAUCACCACGAGAAAGGUGACAAAGGGUCCUGCCAGGUGCUGGUGCCAUCUGUUGUGAGGGGGCCAGGUUCUUUGGGUGUCAUCCAGGUUAUUUGGAAACAUCCAAGGGCUGUUCCAGCUGCAGGGUCCAUGCCUGCUGCCUCACAGACCCUGUGCAGAAGGAUCUUGCCCCUGCCUUGGUGAGGAGCCCUUCCUGGGCAUGGGGCCACGAUGCAAGGUGCUUUGUGCUUCUCCGAGGCAUACCCAGCGGUUUUGCAGAGCAUCCUUCCCAUGUGAAUCUGUUGCAAGCAGACAGGUCUGCCAGUUUUUCUAAGGCUUUUACAUGUGUCUGUCCAAGCGUGUCACAUCCUUCCUUUCUUCAUCCCCAUGUUAUAUUUGAGCUUUGUAUCUCGGGGUGCAGGUGUCCCUCAUGAAGAUCCACAUCUGAGGGAGAUGUUGUGGUAGGCAGGAAGGGUGAUCAUGGAAGAGGUACAGUGGUGGCAGCUGUUGUGGAGGCUGUGAACAUUUGAACUCUCUGCCUAGUUAAGGAAAGAAGGGCCCCAGAAUUAGUUCAAGCCAGAAGAUACAGGAGCUUUGAUCGUCAUCAGAAGCUGCAUCCCGCUAGAUAAGUCAAAUAACAGAACGGUGCAUCUAAAGAAGGUGAGAAAUAGCAGAACGUGAGAACUUAUUAAUGUUUGACUGUUGCCAAAGGCUUAUUUUUCUUACCAGCUGCAGAUGCAAAAUAGCAACUAAUGGAGAGCAGCUGGAUUGAUGCCUGCAGAGAUAAGAAAUGGCCUGCCUGAUGAAUAUGAGGGGCGCCAAUGAAGAACGGGGAGAGCCUAGAUUCUAAUUUUACAAUUGACUCAAAUUGUUGCACGAGGGGUGGUAAGCUUAGAUUACAGGGUUAUAAUUUCCCAGGGCUUUCUUUACUCAGAGUGCCUCUUCCAGAGGCACCCAGCUCAAGCAGCUGUCUAUGCUGUACCUUACAAAUAAAUUAUUUAUUUAAGAGGAAUUUCUGGAAUUCAUGCCUGAGACACUGCUUCAGGAUACCUAGGGUGAAGCUUCCUUAACUCUACUAAGCAAAAAAUUCAAAUGCUUUUCUGGGGUUACUUAAUGGUAAAAACAGUUGUUCUAGUUGCGAUGGGGAAAUGACCCACUUGUGAGUGGGAGGAAGUUCACACAUUGGGGAUGCUGUUCAUGUGAGAGUCAUCCUCUCUCCAUGUGCCCUAUGUGGGGCUGACCUCUGAUUGCAGCUGGUUUACAGCAGUGCAAAGCCCAUGGGUUCAAGGGAGGCCCUCUGAAGCAAAAUGCAGUCAGCUUUGGAUAUAGGAAAGUGAUUUAAAAUGUCAGAUUUCUGGGAAACCCCGGGAGCAAAAUUAUCCUAAAGCUGCAGACUUUCAUCAGGUAGGUCCCAGGGGGCUGGGCAGGUGUGGAGGUGGGCGCCUGCCUGGGACAUGGGCUGCAGUUUGGGUUAUUCCCUUCAUGUGUUGCCCAGCCUGACUUUGCUGAUGUGUUUUCCUUGGCCAAGGACACAGUGACUUUUGUCUAUCCCUUCCUUUCUGCAUGUGCCAGUCUGCAAAUAAUAACUUACAAAUGCAGUAAAACCUGUAAGGUCAUGGUACCCAUUCUUCAGCCAAACUAACCCCUUGCUGGAAUACACCAAAGUGCUCCAGGAAGAAAACUCUGUCCCAAAACAUACUAGCUGUCUGGAACUAACCUCUUGAGAAAAAGACGGUGUUUCAAGGCCUAACAGCUUUCUGUACCCUUUCCAUAUCCUUUGCCAAUGCAGAUAGCUGGAGUGUGUUUCGUGGCCCAUGUGGCCAGUUAACCUGUGUUGACCGCAUUGCAGGUCCAGCUUGUGUCCAGCAGCAGGAGGGUAGCGCAGCCAUCCUAGCUCAAUGUGAUCAGACACUGUCAGGGAAAACAGAAAACUUUCUAUUAAAUCAUGUGAUAUUAGUUCACUGGCUUUUCUUGAGGUCAAAGUCUUUCAGAUAAAGAAGUGACAAAAGUUAAAUGGGUCAGGGCAACAAACAGGGAAACUCAGAAUUAUCCAUCAGGCAGCCAGUGACAGUGACACAAAGAAGGUACAGGGAAGUAAGCUGCGGUGGCAGAACUGUGGACUAAUUGUGAUAAGAAGAUAUUGCAAGACCUUUACACACUCUCUGAUUCUUGUGUCCAUUGUGUUCCUGGAUAUGACUGUUUUUAAGGGUGAAGACUGGCUCUCUGGGAGGCCUCAGGUGUGAAGCAAAGGGGUGUAGGGCAGCAUGUGCAGAAGGAAUAUAUUAUAUCUAGGGCCUUCUGUGAGGGUGGUGGGGUGUAGUUAACCAUGCUGGAGCAACUCUUUCAGGUUGACUCUCCAUUUCACACGCAGACCCCACCAUGCGUCUGGUCACAGAUGAUGAUUUAGAUGCUGAGAGGCCAGGAGAUUAAUAGGAACAGUGGAAAUACACGGUAAUGGCAUUGUCUGAUGGAAGUCCUGGAAUUGCUAUGGCCCAAACCAACGGAAACCAUCCAUGUAGUGUGUGAUUAAACUGGUUUAUAUUAUUUGUGAGUUGUCUAUUCUUCAUGCACACUGCUAUCCUUGCCACCGAAGUUUUCCAUCAGUUAAAGAAAAAAGCAAACUGUCACUGCAAACAAAAGCCAGCCACUAGUGGUGGCCAGGGAAGGAAAGUGAGACCCAGGCUGGCCCCCAGCGAAGCUCUCUGCCACAUCCAGCCCCCAACAGCAUGCAACACAGGGACUUCCCAAGCCACAGUUUGCAUCUUCUCACUGGCACCCUUUGCAUCUCAGUGCUGUGGGUAUUGCAUAAUAGAUGUCAGAAGGGACGAUGGUGGGAGACUCUCCUCCAUUUUCAUACU